rnacentral:sRNA from 1 species
UAAAACCUACGUACCAAUGUAAUAUCCUCUCAUCAUGUAAGGUCAAAUCCUCUCAUCAUCCUGAUGCUAAAUCUUCUGAUCUUCCUAAGGUUCACUUUACCAUCUUAUCUCUAAAUUAUCAUUCAUCAGCUCUGCUAAUUUCCCUUGGUCUUUAGUAGAUUUGACAGUCUCUCUUCUUUUUCCCAUGUUGUAAGUCUUAAAAAAGAAAAAAACUGCCGACAAGAAAAAAAGAAGCUUCUAGCGGGAAUAAGAAGAAAAGUAUGGCUGCUAAAGCACCAACUGGAGCUGAAGAAGCUGAACUUGCCUUGCUCGCAAGAAAGAAGCUAGUGACUUGCUCUUGCGAAGAAAGUUAUGUACAGGAAGGUGAACAAGGAAGAGUACUGCAGCUUUCAUGCUUAUGAAGGGUUUCAGCGGGAUCUCCAGAAACUUUUCAAAGAAAAUGUGACUGCGGCUCUUGCUGGUGACAACCCGAAAACUCGAAAGGAGAGGGAAAUGAAAGAGAAUUUGAAACGAGCCAAGGAAGAGAAGAGGCAAAGUGACACUCUCAAAAUGGCCGAGAACCGGAUGAAGAACACGAGAAUCAAGCCUCCAUGAUGAUGGUGGUCUGGCAAUGACAAG